AACAUCCAAAUAAAGGUAAGUAUCCAAUGAGUAAAAAAAGCAAAAAUGAUGAAAAAAAAGAGAUGAUGAUGAGCCCAAAAGUCCAAAUGAAGACAGAAGAUGAAAUUGAUAGUCUUUUGUUUUCUUCUAUUCUUAUGACAAAAAAAAACAUCUAAUCACUUUUUCUUAACUAGUGACAAGAUGGAUGAAAAGAGAAAACAAUUUAAUGAAGAAAAAGAGUAUAAGAGAAAAAAAUGUAAAAGAGAAUAGAAAAUGAGAGAGAAUCAACCAAUCAAAAUCGUUUUCUUUUUUUCUUUUUCAAAUGUUACAAUUUUUUUCUAUUCUUUUUUCGUUUUUGUUUUAAUUUAGUUCUUUUUUCUCUCUUCUCUUGGCAACUUAAAUAUAAAAUUGUAUUCUCUCUCUCUCUUUUAAGAUGAGAAAUAUUUAUGGAAUCAUGAUGGUGAUUUUCGUCGAUAAGUGAAAGAAAAAUUUGAUAAAAGAAUCAUAUUCUCUUUCUUUAUGUAUCCUUCUGAUGCACUGGAUCGGGCUACUCCUGUUCUCAUGGACAUUAACUGGACAAAGAGAGAGAGAGAGAGACAGAGAAUGGACAAGAAGAUGAUCAACAAGAUGGUUACCAUUUUAGUGGCAAUUAAUUCCAGAUAAACAUUAAGUCUAUUUGGAUUCAAUGUAUAUUGAGCAGGAUAAAAGGAGGAAAAACAGUUUGGUGACAUUUUCACAUGAAAAUUAAGGUUAAAGGAAAUAUUAUCCGUAUGGAAACCUUGAUACUAUUGGAUCAUCGUUUUUUUCUCUCUUUCUGUUAUUAUCACAUCAUUUCUAUUGGAUUUCUGCCAAAUUGAUUAGGAUUUCUUAUGUAUCCUCUAUUACUGGUUAAUGGCAAUUCUAUUGCUUUCGCUUGAUGUAUAAGACUAAAUAUUAAUCUGAACCAGGAAUCUAAGCUCAAUACAAGUUGAAGUGAAUUAAUCCUUUUGUUGGAUAACCACUAGACGAUGAAGGACCAGCGUAAAACAUGCAAAAGUUUUUAUAGUUAAUCCAUCAUUUACUUGCUGUAUGGUGUAUCUAGUGUACAAAGAAAUAUCAAGAAAAGCAAAACAAGAGGAUCAAGUGGAAAUAAAGAUAAAAUGGCGGUCAAGAUGCUAGAUGAAUCUUAAAGACAAAGAAAAGAAGAGACCUUAUGAAGGAUAAUUAUGAUAAAUGGAAGAAUUGAAGAUACAGUUAUUAUCAUUAUAUAAAUAUAAUGAUAUCUCCAUAGGAAUAUGACAAGAAGAAGUGACUUUCGUUUUUUUUGUUUAGAUUGAUUCAAGCAAAGAAGACGAGAUUAAAACGUCCGGAUAUUGUCAAGAACUAAAUAACCAUCAAAAUUGGCCUUUUAAUCUGCCCAUUCACUAUGAUCGUUUUUCCAUUUUUGCAAAUGAGAUUCUUUUAGCUCUCUCACCAUUGCUAGAUGUACACACACACAAGAGUUUCUAUUUGGAAAAGGUCUCAGAACAACAAUUCAAUAUGAAUCUCUCUCAUCAAGAGAGUUGCGAAACAAGUUAAAGUGAGAGAGAAGGAGAAAAUGUUCAAGAUUUAUCUCUCAUAAGAGAAAAGGAGAGAUAAUUUUCCCUUCUUUCUUCAUGGAUGAGCAUUAAAGCCAAUCUGAUGCUAUUCUUAUACCAGCAUCGAUUCUGCUGUUUAAUACUCAUGGUGAUUUCCAAGCUAAGGAUUGAAAAAAAAACCCAAGAUUCUCAGACUUUGGUAUUGGAUUGAUUGAUUUAAACUAAACUACUGUUGGUUAAUGUGAUCAAAAUCAAAUGGACUCUUCAAUAUGAUUAAAUAAAUCGUUGGGACUUUUUGGAAAAACCAUUUAAGGACAAAACAGUUACAAAAAAAGUUAUUUCAACUAGUGAAGAUGAAGUAGUUUGUUAUACUCAUUGGAAUGGAUUAAAACAAACUUAAAGUUGAAUUGUUGGUGGACUCGAGGAAAAAAAGAGAUCAUUAUGUACAAAUAUGCAAACGAAAAUGAAGGAGAAGGAAAAGAAGAGGAAGACGAAAGAUGGAUGGAAGUGAUGAUGAUGAUAACUAUGGAGCUAUGGAAGAUAAAGAGAAUAAGCAGUUCAAUUGAUGCAGAAGGAAAGAAAAGAAAGUAAUCGCUUCUUGAGAGAUAAAAUCGGUUGAAGAAAAGAACUCAAAGUACAAGAUAAAAGAGAGAGAGAGAAAGAUGAUGAUAAUGAAAAAUACAGAAUUUUUUCUUCAUUUUUUUCCUUCUCUCCAUGAACAAGAUAAAGACGAAUAACAAGAAUAAAGAUAUUCUAAAAAAGAUCAAAAAAGAGGAUAAAGAAAAGGAAAAGGAAAUGACAAAGUUACCAAGCAUCAAGAAAGGGAGAAUGAAAAUGAAGACGAAAACGAAGACGAAGAAGAUAGAACGAGAAUUGAGCGAAUAUAAAACUGGAGCAACAAAAAAAAAGGAGAUGAUAGCGAAAUGGAAAUGAUGCUAAAGAGAUGAAACAAGAAAGAUGAGGAAUCAAGUGAAAGAAUCAAAAAGAUGACGAAAAAAAUUUCUAUGAAAAGUCUUGGGUUAUAAUAACAUAGAGAAAAUAAUGGUUCAAUGAAUAAUCGUUGAUGUGGAUCGCAGUUUUGAUAACAUACGAUGGCAAUCAUAGAAUUAUAUUCUUCGUUCAACUCGUCAACACGAUUCAAGUAAAUUGAUGAAAAAAAAGGAGGCAAAAGUGAUGUUCAUCAUCUCUUCAUCAUGACGAUGAUUAGGAAGUAAAAAUUGAGAAAAGAACAAAACUUUAAGGACCAUUGAUGAGGAGAAAAUGGAUUCACAUGUAAAGAGGAAGGAUUCAUGUUCGUUAAGAUUUCGUUACCUUCAUUUUCAUCAGCAUACUCUUCAUCUUUAUGCUGCUCGGGAAAAAGAUCUCAACUCAAAAUCAAUAAUGAUGUAAGCCCUGGUUUAGAAAUUUUCAGUUUCCUGGUAAUUCUCAUUCAUUUUCCAGUCUCUCUCUCCUUCUCUUACUUUCUUUUCUUUCUCUUUCUCUUUCUCAGUAUCAUUAUCAUGAUGCUAUUUUGCCUCCAAGACUUGGUUACGAUAAAAGAGACUAGGAAAAGAAAGUGAAGAUUAUAUUUGAGAGAGAGAGAGAGAGAGAUGAUUAAGACGAUAAAAGAAAGGAUAAUGAUGGCAACAGUGAUAAAAUCUUUGGAUCGAGCAAAACUUAUAUCAAAAGAGGUGGAAAAAUAAACAAUCCAGAUAAACAAGUUCUCAAGAAAUAAAUAUGAACAAAAUAGAGAACAAGAAAAAUGGAGAUGGAAUAGGAAAGCAAAUCAAAAGAAAAGAUAAUAUUCAUCUUGAUCAUCAUAAUCAAAAAUAUAACAAUUUAACCUAAAAGGAUGGAUACAAUUUCAACGUCAUCGAUUGAAAAGAUGAGGUGAUAGCGUGGAAAAUGAAAUACGAAAAGAAAAGGAUAAAAUAAUUCUACCAAUAUGAAUUAUUAUUAUUCACUAGGAUGCAAUUACUAUUAAUAGUCAAUGGAAAAUAAACUCUUGUCAUUUCGUCACAUGGAAAAAUAUUUUCGUUUAAAAUACGAAAUGACCUGUCCAAAAGAAGCCGUUAACGCAUGAGACCAGGAAAAAGAAUGAUAAAAAUUUAUAUAACUGAGAAGAAAUUUUCGUUAUAAUAUAUUAAUAAUUGUCACAAUUCAAGUGAAUCAAUGAAUGACGAUAAAGUAAUUGAAUGAAUAAAUGGUAAUCAGAUAAUAACAGAGGCAACGAUGAUAACGGUUCAAACUGAUAUCAGAUUGAAUUGAGUUUCCUUGAAAGAGAGAAAUGAAAAAAGAAAUGCUAUCCACGAUUACGUUGAUAAUACACCUUAAUCACCAUCAUCAUCAUAAAUGGAAAACAAUUACAAUAUCAAUAUCAAGAUUUAAUUGGAAAGACAGAGUUUGUGUUACAAAGGAUCCAUGGAAAGGAAGGAGAAAAAAACUAAAGUGAAAUAUAUUUUUUUUCCUUCUCUCUUCAGAAUAGAUUCAAUUCUUUGAUGAAGCAAGAAAAAUUACCUGAUAAUUUAUCCUGAUACUGAGAAAACACAAUAGUGAAGUCAUCUGU